rnacentral:rRNA from 1 species
CACGUAGGGUGCGAGCGUUGUCCGGAAUUAUUGGGCGUAAAGAGCUCGUAGGCGGUGUGUCGCGUCGGCCGUGAAAACCUGCAGCUUAACUGUGGGCUUGCGGUCGAUACGGGCAUCACUGGAGUUCGGCAGGGGAGACUGGAAUUCCUGGUGUAGCGGUGAAAUGCGCAGAUAUCAGGAAGAACACCAAUGGCGAAGGCAGCUCUCUGGGACGGUACUGACGCUGAGACGCGAAAGCGUGGGGAUCAAACAGG